AGUGUUUGAACUUUGAAGGGUUGUCUCCACCAAAACACAGAGAGAACACAACACAACACAACACAACACAACACAUAGAAGAAGCAACACUUCCCUCACUCAUUCAUUCACCUAUUAGGGUUUCCCAAUUCCCAAUUCCAAUGGCGGAGGUCAUCAACGCUCCCCCGGAUUCACUCGACAAAUCCCCACCACCAUCCCCAUCCUCCGCCUCAGCUCCCCCACCUCCUCCUCCUCCUCCGCCGUCGCUACCUCCUCCCUCCGAUUCCGAUCUCCCUCCACCACCUGCCCGCAGGAGGGACAGGCGGGACGACCGGGAUUUCGAUCGUCCACCUAACCGCCGCGAUUACUACGACCGCAGCAACAACUCCCCCCCGCCCAAAGACCGGGACAGGGACUUCAAGCGCCGCCGCAGCCCCUCACCUCCUUCCCAACGCGACCGCGACCGCCGCCACUCCCCUCCCGCCCGGUCCCGAUGACAGGUCACUCCUUUCUUCGCGUGAAAUUGCUUCAUUAGCUAGAAUUUAUCUUCAUUCUGCGAUUACAAUAGUUGAAUUCCAUUUGAUUAGCUGAUUUCUGUGAAUUUGAGUUUAGGUGUAGGAAAAAAUUGAGGAAAUUUCCUUAUUUUUUAGAAUUAUCAGUAUCAAUGUAAGAGGACUCUGGGAAAUGAAGCCAAAUGCAGUUUGUCUGUGAGUGUGUUUAAGAUUAGAGUUUUUCUAUUCAGCCCGAAAACUCAUUCACCAUAAUGCAAUUUAACAACCAAUAGCAUAAUAACAACUUGGCCAAGCAAGAUUCAUGUUGAGGGCAAGAGUUAAUAGUUAGAGACUUAGAGCCAUGUAUGUUUCGUGUAAUUCUCUCAGUACAAUUUCGGACCACAAAGCAAUUUCCUUUAAAUUAACAGUGGAUGUGUUUUUAACCAAGGAAAGCUGUUUGGUUUAGAAUUAGGGAUUUGUAGUUUAAAUUUGUGUGUCCUGUAGGAACUACAAGACUCUGGAAAUGAAAUCAAGUUCGUUGUGGGUAUGUGUUUUGAUGUUGUAAUUCUUGUUUCUAACUGGCCGUUAUGUUUAAUUAUUUAUCCAAUCAAGUAACCUAAUAAAGCCUUCCUAGAAUAUGGGAUUUAAUUUGGAAUUGUGUUUCUGCAGUUAUUUGCUCAUUUUCCAUAGUUCUGAUGCAACUACUUCUAGCAAUGCAUUUUGCCAUCAUUUAUAAUUUCUAAUAUGUUACUUACCGAAUAAUGACACUAUUGUACUUCGACUAGUUGUGGAUGGGUUGUUAUAAACUCUUUCUAUGAGAAGUGAGAACAAAUGACAUGGUAGGAUAUUGUCUGGAAAAGUCUUUUUUGUGUAUGCUUAAAAUGUUUUUGUUUCUCUUUGCUAGUUAAACUUAGUUCCUUUACUUCUCUUUCCUCCCUUUUAUUACCCCAAAAUUUAGAUCAUGCUUUAUCCAAAUGUGUUUUUUUUUUUUUCUUAAUUUACCCCAUCAUCUGAUUGCAGCGGAUUUGGAUAUGAUAAUUCUGGCGGUUAUGAACGGGGAGUGGGUGGAAGGGUUGGUUAUGUCGAUGACAAGUCUUCUGGCCGAUUUGGACAUCGUUCUGCUGGGGGACAUCAAAAUGGGAUUUCUGGUAUGCUAAUAUUGUUAAUAACUGGUUGUUUUUCCUAUAUCCUGUAAAUCCCAUUUUAUCUAUAGCUUCAAUUCUAUUCUUAUUAGUGUUUUGCUUUUAACUAAAUUAUACUCUUAAGUCUUAACCUCCUUCCUUUGAAUAAGAAUAUAUAUUUGCAUAAUAAUUUGAGUUUCUUACCAUUAGAUGUCAUGGUUUCUUCAUUGCACGUUGUUAUGUGUGCUGUGUUAAACUGGUAACAUUCUAAUAGAUUUUCAACAAAACCCCAUAAAGUACACCAAUCAAGCAAAAGAUAGUAAGAUACG
rnacentral:lncRNA from 1 species